UCAGCCUUUGGGGGGCCAUAGCAGAAACGUUCAUGUCACAGCCCCUGUCAAGUAAUACCCGAUAAUACCUGUGAAUUCUGCU
rnacentral:ribozyme from 1 species